rnacentral:lncRNA from 1 species
ACAGAAAGUUCCAACCUUAGUAACUUAGGACAAAAUUAAAAACAAAGAAAUGAACCCCAAGGUCUUAAAAAUCUCUCUAUUAGUCAAGUUGAGCAUACCAGAUACCCUGGAUUUUUACAUCCUUAGGUACCUUUGCCCCCAAAUCAGUAUCAGAUGGCUGAAUGCUCUCAAACACUCCAAUCACCUCACCAGUCUCUGGCUUGCUCUGUGUAACACUCAGUGUGAUCUUUCCUGUUGAAGACGAAGUGUUCUUUACGUUCUCCUUCUGGAGCUCCUCCUCGUCUCCUCUCCCUCCAGCUGGCAAUGCAACAGCAUUAUCGUAACCAGUAGAUCCACCCCUUCCCUUUGGGUCAAGGAAUGAUGAUCCUCUGUAUGACGGCACAAGGAACUCUCCACUAAAGCUGUCGGGCUUUCCAGAUGCCACGAGCUGUUUGAUUGUGAAGAGGAAGGGAACGCGCUCACCACCAGGAAGCUGAACUGUAACAGCAGCAUAAUCAAUUCCGUCUUUCUCCUCAAACUUAACGGUACCAUCAGGAGAUACUUCAAAGGGUCCUUCAAUCUCAUCAAGAGUGUAGGUUAAGCGCGUCAUUAGCUUGGUUUUUUGGAAUUCUGGGGGUGCAUUCUUGCUUACGCUCUCUG